GAAUUUUCGACAAUGGGCGAAAGCCUGAUCCAGCAAUGCCGCGUUCAGGAUGAAGGCCUUCGGGUUGUAAACUGCUUUUGUACGGAACGAAGAUCUUUGGGUUAAUACCCUGGCUUCCUGACGGUACCGUUAGAAUAAGCACCUGCCACCUACCUGCCAGCCGCCGCGGUAAUACGUAGGGUGCAAGCGUUAAUCGGAAUUACUGGGCGUAAAGCGUGCGCAGGCGGUUUUGUAAGACAGAGGUGAAAUCCCCGGGCUCAACCUGGGAACUGCCUUUGUGACUGCAAGGCUAGAGUACGGCAGAGGGGGGUGGAAUUCCGCGUGUAGCAGUGAAAUGCGUAGAUAUGCGGAGGAACACCGAUGGCGAAGGCAACCCCCUGGGCCUGUACUGACGCUCAUGCACGAAAGCGUGGGGAGCAAAC
rnacentral:rRNA from 1 species